rnacentral:misc_RNA from 1 species
AAGUCGUAACAAGGUUUCCGUAGGUGAACCUGCGGAAGGAUCAUUACAGAGUUCAUGCCCGUAAAGGGUAGACCUCCCACCCUUGUAUAUUAUUACUUGGUGCUUUGGCGGGCUGCCUAUAUUAACAUUAGCGUCCGCCAGAGGUUAUCAAACUCUUUUUAUUAAUGUCGUCUGAGUACUAUAUAAUAGUUAAAA